UGUAUGUUACCACGCGGUCGGAAUCCGACUAAAACCGACUGGCUAGUCGCAGGUCGCGCUCAACGCCGUGCGGUACCCUCUGGUAUUCACAUUAUCAAAUUAUAAGUGGGCAGUGUCAAGUGAUUUUAGUGUUCUAAAAUUAAAUUACGAGCACUAACAACAGAACACACACAAAAUUAAACAUGUCAAAAAUAUAAAAAAA